rnacentral:lncRNA from 1 species
GGCUGGAGUUGAGCUCUUCAGAGCUGGGCUCUCACAGUGCUAGUUGUAGCCCCUGCCUGAAGUAGGGGAAAGUGAAUGCUGAGUGACUGGGCGGACACUAAGUGCACCCGAGCCUGGGAAUGGGCGUGGAAGGGAAGAGGGCCAUGGUGGCGUGGAGAGCUUGCUGAGCUCCAGGCUCUCAGCGAGUUCAGAGCACAGGCCUUUGAUCUGACACUGAGCUCAGGCAUGUCUGCUGCGAUCUCCGUGAUCCCUCUGUUUAAAAAUCAUUAGUAUGGGAAGAGGAAAACAAAGUCAUAGAGCUCUUCUAGACUGCACACCUUGGACGUCUGAGGAGGCAGGGGAGUCAACAGUGGAGUCAGAAAAAGAGCUAUUGAAGGUAAG